UACUAGGAAAUGUAAAGAAGUGUAAACAGCUUCUUCAAAAAGCUGUGGAAUGCUGUGCGGUUCCACCAGAAAUGUUGGAAAUUGCUCUACAAAACCUACAUUUGCAGAAAAGGCAGUUGCUUUCAGAUGAAGAAAAAGAGAACUUCACAGUAUCAAGUAUACAAGAAUCCGGACCACAAAACAUGGCUGGAAAUGUCCGGAGUAGGAAAAAAAGUGAUUCUGGUGAAAUUUCUGCUAAUGCCCCCAGAUCUUCUCUUGGGAAGAACAACAACUCUCCACAAGAGUUUGAUGCAGUCCGGGUUGGGCGCAAUCCCUUAAAGCAAUUAAACAAAUCUAACCAGGUGGAAGCUUUUUGAAUGCUU